rnacentral:rRNA from 1 species
UGAUGUGAAGCCCACGGGCUCAACCGUGGAGGGUCAUUGGAAACUGGAAAACUUGAGUGCACAAGAGGAAAGUGGAAUUCCAUGUGUAGCGGUGAAAUGCGCAGAGAUAUGGAGGAACACCAGUGGCGAAGGCGACUUUCUGGACUGUAACUGACGCUGAUGUGCGAAAGCGUGGGGAUCAAACAGGAUUAGAUACCCUGGUAGUCCACGCCGUAAACGAUGAAUGCUAAGUGUUAGGGGGUUUCCGCCCCUUAUAGCUGCAACUAUCGCAUUAACCACUCCGCCUGGGGAGCACGACCGCAAGGAUUAAACUGAAUUGAAUUGACGGCGACCCGCACAAGGAACGUAGGAUGUGGUUUAAUUCUAAGCAACGAAACUAACCUUACCAAAUCUUGACAUCCUCUGAUCCCUAUAUAAAUAUAGGCUUCCCCUUCUCUGGACAGAUGGACAGGGGGUGCAUGGUUGUCGU